AUAUGUUAGAUAUUUACAUAUGAUUUCCAUAUACAUAAAAUAUCACACACACACACACACACACACACACACACACCUGUCUUGAGUUACUCAGUGAUUGGCAUACCAUACACAAAUCCAUGGCAGAGAGAGAUGAAGUUUCUUAAAUAGGAAAUACAAGCCAUUCAUGUGAUUAGAGACAGUACAUCAUUUCUUUUUAACAUUAUAUAUUUAUAUCAUACAUUUGUACAUGUGUUCUCCUGAAGGGUAUGCACGAGUCUGUGCAAUUCUGAUAAGAUUUCAGGAAAUGUUAUCUGCCUGCUAGGCCUGUCACGUGUGGACCCUCCUCUGCAGCCAGGGAGCCCGUGAAGCUGUGGCCUCGUGUGUGGGGUUUAGACACCUGUGCGUCUACCCCGAGGAGCCUGGUGCAUUUGAGUCAGGGGUUUAGAUACCUGUGUGUUUGUCCCAAGGAGCCUGGUGUCCUCGAAUGGCGGGUUUAGACACCUGUGCAUUUGCCGAGAGGAGCCGAAUCUCUUCACAGUUGAGAAGUAGUGAUGUGGGGAGGAGGAAAAGAGGGAGAAAACACAGCCCUGGGGGAAGGGAUGGGGCAGGAAAUGGGCGUGGGGCCUUGUGAGUCUCUGGUUUUCUGGGAUCUUCAUGAGUGUCUGGGGUCUCUAUGAGUCUCUGGAAUCUCUGUGGUUUUCCACAGAGUUUCCACGUGAGUUUCUCGGGGGGGGGGCGGUCUGUGUGGUUUUCUGGGGUCUCUGUUAGUCUCUGGAGUCUGACUCUGGUGGAGGUAAGAAUGGAACGGAGGUGGCCGUGAGCCCGGUGGCCUGCCUGCCCUAUGUGCUUCUUACCUCCUGGCUGCCUGAGCGUCAUCUGGGGGUAUUUGGAGACUUCCAGGAGCAGGACUCUUGUCGGGUUCAUGUGGACCCACAAUGCUGAAAACUUUGAGGACAUCUGGAUUGAGGUUCAGCGUCGUACAGGCUUGGUUAACGGUUAUGACUGGCAGAUGUCUGCUGUAUUCGGAGUGUGCAAGUGGUUGACUGUUUAUUGGAAAUUAUUUCAGUGGCCGGGGAGGUCCCAGCACCCACGUUGGGGCUGCAGCCACCACUGCUGAGUUGGCCGGAGUUGACCUUUGGUCAGGAUCCAGUGAUGGACUUGGCUGUGGGAAUCGUCUAAAAGUGAACCCUCUCGGUGCCCGGCAUCAAGUUGCAUCACAGGAACACAAAGUACUUGCUUGUGUGACCCAGGCUUGCUCAGUCGACCGGCUCGUCCUCAUGCAUGAAUCACCACCAAGAGAUGUGUGCACAUUUCCUUCAUGCCAUGGCCAAGGGAACCAUGGGGGUACCACGUGUUAAGAUAAGGGUUGCUGGUGAUGGACAAUUCAGGAGCAGGAACGGCAUCCAGCCAUGGCCACGGUGGAGCCUCAGAGAAGUGGCUGGAGAGGGGCAUGCACUGAAUAUUGGAAAGAGAGUUGAUGCCAGCCAUAUAAAGAGAACCUGGGAGAGGGUUCCAGCCACAGGAGCAGCAUGGCCAUGUUACGGCACUGAAUAGUGGAGGGAGGGUUGACACCAGCCACGUAAACAGGGAGAGAGAUCCAGCCACACAACCAACACAGUAUGUUAUGAAAAACCUUUGGUGACGGGAAGUCAGGGCAUAUGUGCGCCUGAGCAGAUGCCUUAGGGGUGCGUGUGUAAAACCACGAAUCUUCAGAGGGACUUGAACUCAUGACGUAGCUGAUCCUGAGCAAGAUCAAUAAUGGAGACCCGAAUGAUUUCUCACCUGACUGAGGCAUUUGCCACCUCUGUCUCAGUCAGUCAGGGCUGUCACUCACAGAGUUGGGGGUCCCGGGAGUCACCAUGAAGGGUUGGGGUCCUGGGUCCCUGGUCCUGGGUCGCAGGGCCUCCACCUCCUUCCCCAGUUUGCUCCUGUGCCAGAGGCAUGUCAGCGAGGCAGCCCCGGGUACAGCUCUUACCUACUGUUAGGUUAAUUACCCUUAAUUAGGUUGUGUCCCUCAGCAGAGAGUGGGAAGUGGAGUAUGCUUCCUCCAUCUGCAGGGCCUUGGAAGAGCGCCCCAACCUCCUCCUUAGCAGAGCAGAAAAUCUCUGCCAUCUCAUCCUCAACUGCCUCAGCUCACCCAGGAGCAGAGGAGGAGCAGUCACGGGCAGCGGCCGUGCAGGUGCCACACCUGGUGGUCCACCUGAGAACCAGGGCAAAAGCCAGAGAAGUGCAGUCUCACGACAUGAGGAGAACAUUGAAGAAGGCUCGCGGGUGCCCGAGCCCCAGUGUCCAGUGAAGAAGGCCCACGGGUGCCCUGAGCCCCGGUGUCCAGUGAAGAAGGCCCACGGGUGCCUAAGACCCAGCAUCCAGUGAAGAAGGCCCAUGGGUGCGCGAGCCCCAGUGUCCAGUGAAGAAGGCCCAUGGGUGCCCUGAGCCCAGCGUCCAGUGAAGAAGGCCCAUGGGUGCCCUGAGCCCAGCGUCCAGUGAAGAAGGCCCACGGGUGCCUGAGCCCAGCAUCCAGUGAAGAAGGCCCAUGGGUGCCUGAGCCCCAGUGUCCAGUGAAGAAGGCCCACGGGUGCUGAGCCCAUCUCCAAGCUCAUACUUCACCCUGAGAUUGAUUUACCUUCUUAGCUCCACCUUUUCAUAUGUGAUCCAUUCUUCAUAGAGCAAGUUUUAUCCCUUUAAAAAUGACAACCAUGGUGCCUGAGAAAGAAGCGUGUUCUGAAAGUGAAGACUCCACCACAACUGUUAUUUAGGGUUGUGGAACUGUAGGGUUCCGUGUGCGGGGUUAGCCUUGUUCUCUCUGAAGGGGAGGAUAGUGCUGGGAACAGGCUCCCCACAUUCCCACCAGCACCUCAUCUUCUCACCAGCUCCCCACAUUCCCACCAGCACCCCACAUUCUCACCAGCUCCCCACAUUCUCACCAGCACCCCACAUUCUCACCAGCACCCCACAUUCUCACCAGCUCCCCACAUUCUCACCAGCACCCCUCAUUCUCACCGGCACCCCUCAUUCUCACCGGCACCCCCAUUCUCACCAGUACCCCCAUUCCCACCAGCACCCCACAUUCUCACCGGCUCCCCACAUUCUCACCGGCAUCCCGCAUUCUCACCGGCUGCCCGCAUUCUCACCAGCUUCCUGCAUUCCCACCAGCACCCCACAUUCUCACCAGCUCCCCACAUUCCCACCGGCUCCCCACAUUCUCACUGGCUUCCCACAUUCUCACCAGCACCCCUUAUUCUCACUGGCACCCCACAUUCUCACCUCCCCAAAUUCUCACCAGCUCCCCACAUUCUCAUUGGCUCCCCACAUUCUCACCAGCACUCCACAUUUUCCCCAGCUCCUCACAUUCUCACUGGUACCCCACAUUCUUAGCAGCACCUGUGACUGUUGUCCUUUGAUGAGAACAGUCAUGCUGAUGUGGAUUAGGUCUGCAUUUCUCCGAUGGUCGGUGAUGCAGGGAGGGGUUUCCAUGCUGAGCGGGGUUUGUGCCCGGGAUGCCUGCCUGAGUGACAAGGCAUUUCCUAUUGAAGGGAGCCGUGCUCAGAGGUUGUGGCUGCUUGUCACUUACUUGUGGGUGAUACCUGUGAUGAAUUGUGUUCAAAGGGAAAUUAUAAAACAAGAAUAGAGCCAUUGGGACUCUAGCGGGUAAGACUAAGGGUUCUAGGAGCAGGACUGCUUCAGCGUCUCAAACAUACUUUCUUCUGAGAAGAGUUAACAAAAGAGCAGAGCAAGAGAAUCUGUUAAACAGCAGCUGGGUCGUGCGUCUAGAAGGCAGCAGCAGGUGCACUGGAAUGGACUUCCCAUUCCAACAAAAUGUGCCUUUUUGUCAGUUGCUCAGCUGCGGGCAGUGUCACACACGCAUCAAAAUAAAAACAAGUGGGGGCAUUUAAAACAGCGGGAGGUGAAGUCAGCAGAGGCUUUGCUGCAUAGGGGUCCUGGGCCUCUGCUCCAAGACCUGGGUUUCUCAUCUGUAGAACAGAGACAAUAGCUCACAGAGGCUGGAACGAGGGUGCCUGAGUGCUUUCUAGGCAGUCAUCACUGUCCCGGGGCAGGAGGCUGGGCUGGCACACAACCCUUGACAUUGCUGAGCCUGCCUGGGCCUCAGAUCCACUCACAUGGACGUCAGUGACAGCUUCCAGAGGCAUCCAAAGGAAGCUUCUGUGCACCGGGCCAAUCCUUGUCCCUUGUGGGACACACUUAGCCUGAGCAAAGGCUGCAGUUCUUCAGAGGGAAAGACGGUGCCCCUUAUGGGAAGCUCACAGGCCGUUAUUUUCCAGUGGAAUUCCAGGGUGGAAAUGUGGAGGCAGCUGACUGGAGAAUCAUAGGAGAAGGUGCUCUCCAUGUAACAUGCAUCUGGAAGGGUUUCCUGAGGCUUCAGUUCCUCUGUUCUUCCCUUCUCUGUCCCAGCAGAGCUGUUUUUAUAAAGCACACAUAGCAUUUGCCAUUAUUCAUUUUAAUUGUGCCAGGGACACCAUUCUCCGUCCCCCUCUGUGAGUGACGGCACCUCCAUGCCGUGUUUCCACCCACAUGCUGUGUUUGGCAGAGGCCUUGCUGACCCCGAACCGCCCUAAGCUGUCAAAUGUCUGUAGCUGGGUGGCGGUGGGGAACAUGAGAGGCAGACAGACUAGGGGUGCGCACAGAAUGUAACCCUGGGUCGUGGGCUCAGUUCUCCCUCCUAAAGUCCUUUAAGCAAAGGCGUGGCUGAGCUCAAGUUUCCAGAGGGGCAGAACACCAACUUGUGUGUUUUCUUUUUACUGUUUUUUUUUUUUUUU